GGCCCGCGGGCGCUGAUGGCGGCUCGUGCCGCAGCCGGGGCCAUGGGGGUGGCGGGCGCGGGGCCCCGCGGGACCCUGCGCUCGGAGCCGCCCUGUGCCGCGGAGGCCGCCGCGGGGCCGUCCGCCCCGGGGGGCCGGGCCGCGCUGCGGGAGGAGGCGAGCCGCCGCCGCCCGACAGGACGCGGAUCCCGAGGGAGCGAGGGGCCGGAGCCGGGCUCGCCGCAGGCUGCCGCCCGUGAGCUUCCAGCGCUGGUGGGCUUGGACGUCUCAGCCCACCCUGAAGGGGGAUUGGCAGCUGCCAUGCCCAGGAGGAAGCCUGUCCGAAGCCGAAAAUCUAAAAGGAAACCACCUGCCAGCAAGCGUCCAGCCCGGGCGGAAGCUGAGGGGUAUGGGGCGGGGACCUCAGAGAAUGAGCCUGCCUCGCCCAUGAAAGUGCCAAAGAAACGAGGCCGUAAGUCCAAAGCAGAGCUGCUCCUGCUGAAGCUGUCGCAGGGUCUGGACUGCCAAGCACCGGAGCCUAUCUGUGUGCAGAAGAUACUGGGGAGCAACGAGGCACCUGACGGCUUGGAGGCCACGCCCAGUGGGCGCCCCAAGAGGCGGGCGGCUAAAGUGGCCUUGCUUUACUUGCAGGAGCUGGCCGAGGAGCUGACAUCGGUGUACCAGCCUCUGGCUUCCAACAAGGGCCCCCAGGAAUCAGAGUCCGACAGUUCGAGGAAGAAGCGCCGGAGCAGAAGGAGGAAAGAGGAGGAGACUGAUGAUGAUGACCUCUCUCGGGAUGUGGACUUUGUGCCCUCAGAGGAGGUGCUGCUGCAGGCAGCAGAGGAGGAGGAGGAGGAGGAGAGUGACGUCCUGCUCAGUGAGGUCUCUGAGUCAGAGCCAGAGGCUGUCCGAGGCCGCACCCCGAGGAUGCUGUCAGCAGGGAAGUCCAAGCCCCAGUGCCGAGGGCUUGCUCCCAAUGGCUUCCACAACUCCAUCAUGGCCCCUGUGUGGAAGUGUCCCAGCAUCACCCGCAGCCUGCGAGACCGGCACUACUCCUCCUGGGAAUUCCCCGACUGGCUCCCUUCUACGCGCAAGUGGACAUUUCUCUCGGAGAGCGAAUGUGCCCAGUACCUGCCGGGGGAGAUGAAGUCUCCCCUCUUUUCCAUCCAGCGGGAGGGCAUCGAAGAAGAUGGUGUCCUGUACCGCAUCAACAGGUUCAACUCCCUGCAGCCCCACGAGGAGCGCCUGGACGUGUCUUUCUUUGUGGGUGGCCCGGUGUGGGCCAUGGAGUGGUGUCCGUGUCCAGAGGGCUCUGCCGCCCCCCAGUAUGUGGCGCUCUACUGUAACAAGGGCAUGGACGAGAAGCACAGCUUGGCCGAGCUCCACACAGGCCCUGCACUGCUGCAGCUCUGGGCUCUGGGCAUCCUGCAGCCAGAGGCAGGCUCUGCCACCAAAUCCCGACUGGCCUACGCCAUCGCCACUGACCACGGCUGCAUUUGGGACAUGAAGUUCUGCCCCAGCGGAGCCUGGGAGCCGCCCACCACCUGCAGGAAGCCCCCUCAGAUGAGCCGGCUGGGCCUCCUGGCAGCAGCCUUUUCUGAUGGCAAAGUGCUCGUGUACAGCCUCCCGCACCCCGAGGGCCUGAUCACCCACAAGAGAGCCCAGGUAAAAGGUGGGCCCUUCCCAAAGCACACCAUCUGCAAGGUGCAGUGCAUCGCCACCCUGCAGGUUGGCUCCAUCCAGGCAGGGAACUCUUCUGAGUGUGGCCAGUGCUUCAGCGUCUCCUGGGUGCCUUCCAAGCCCCACCAGCACCUGGCAGCCGGCUUCUACGAUGGCACCGUGGCCAUCUGGAACCUGCCCACCAAGUCCCUGCUGCAGCGUGUGCGCCAGGCCGAUGGCUCCCUCAAGCUCUACCCCUUCAGGUGCUUCCUUGCCCACGACCAUGCUGUCAGGAGCAUCGAGUGGUGCAAAGUCAACAGCAACUUCCUGGUUACGGCGGGGAACGACCGGAAGAUCAAGUUCUGGGACCUGCGGCGGCUCUACGAGCCCAUCAACAGCAUCAAGCGUUUCCUGACCACCGAGAUCACCUGGCUGCUGCCCUACAAUGGCGUCACUGUGGCCCAGGACAACUGCUAUGCCUCGUAUGGACUGUGCGGAAUCCACUAUAUUGAUGCCGGCUACCUGGGUUUCAAGGCCUAUUUUGUGGCCCCGCGCAAGGGGACUGUGUGGAGCAUCUCCAGCUCCGACUGGCUGAACACUGUGGCGGCCGGGGACAUCACUGGGGAGCUGCUGGCGGCGGUGCUGCCAGACCUGGCCAUGAACCCGCUCAACAUCAAACGGCCUUCGGAGCGCAGAUUUCCCAUCUACAAAGCGGAUCUGGUGCCCUGCGGCUCUGUGGGAGGCGAGGAGGAGCCGAGGCCGAAGAGCAGGAUGUACGGCGAGAUGACGAAGGAGCAUUGCCUCCGCUUCCAGGAUACAGACCUGCUUCCGAAACUUCUUCAGCCGGCAGCCCAUGCGCAGGAUGCACGAGCAGGAGGUGAAGGCCGAGCUGAGCCUGGACCGCAUGCAGCUGGAGUCCAUCCACAAGGUUCGCUUCAGCCCCAACCUGGACUCUCACGGCUGGCUGGUGUCGGGUGGCCAGUCGGGCAUCGUACGGGCGCACUGCCUGGUGGGGCUCACCUCCCCGGUGGGCCACAAGCUGCUCCAGGAGUGCCGGGCCCAGUUCAGCGCCAUGGACGGGGACAGGCCGGAGAGCCCCAGCGGCAGGCUUGCCGAGCACGGCCUCCUGCAGGAACAGUAGCCACCUGUCUGCCUGGCCAGAGCCCUGCACGGGGAGCUGCCUCCAGGCUGCAGCGCCUUCCAGGGGUCACCAGGCCUGGGAGGAGACUGCAGCAGCCCAGCCAGGGUCCCUCCUCCAGGCCCCCAGGCUUGGGACCGGUUCAGUGCAUCAUGCAGCCUGCCUCUCCCAUCUGUCCCCCGCGGGGUGCGGGCAUGGGCCUGAGCGCCACAGGGACAGGCUGGCUGGCUGGGCGAGCUGUGGCUAGCCCCUUCUGCUGUCCGCUUGACCCAGCCUGUGAGCCAGAGCAGAACUGUGCAGGGGCCUCUCACCCACCUAUGGGGAGUGGUGGGGGCUGACACUCUGUGCAGGGGCCCCUCACCUGGCCCUGGAAGUCAUCGGCGGGGCUGACACUCUCUCUGUGCAGGGGCCCCUCACCUGGCCCUGGAAGUCAGCGGGGGUGGGGAGGGGGGCUGAUGCUCUGUGCAGGGGCCCCUCACCUGGCCCUGGAAGUCAGGGGGGGCUGAUGCUCUGUGCAGGGGCCCCUUCCCCCGGGGUGAUCCCGUGUGUGUGUAGCAUUGUGGUUUUGUGCCUGUUGCUGUCUGGUCGUCGCCUGGCUCCCAGCGUCUGGCUCAGGCACCUCCUGCAGGCCCAGGCACGGGUGCCUGUGGGCACCGGGGAGAGGCUGCAGAGCAGCUGUGGGGCUGGGCCCAGGCUGUACGAGCAGCGCCUUGCACCCAGGCCAGGAGCCGAGAACUCGCUCACAUUGAGCUGCUGUGAUCUUAACUGUUCAAUAAAGUGUUUGUUUUUUAAA